rnacentral:rRNA from 1 species
UACGUAGGGGGCGAGCGUUGUCCGGAAUUACUGGGCGUAAAGCGUGCGCAGGCGGUGAUGUAAGACAGGUGUGAAAUCCCCGGGCUUAACCUGGGAACUGCAUUUGUGACUGCAUCGCUGGAGUGCGGCAGAGGGGGAUGGAAUUCCGCGUGUAGCAGUGAAAUGCGUAGAUAUGCGGAGGAACACCGAUGGCGAAGGCAAUCCCCUGGGCCUGCACUGACGCUCAUGCACGAAAGCGUGGGGAGCAAACAGG